rnacentral:sRNA from 12 species
GUCCAUAAGGGUAAGUAUUACCCUUAUGGACAUCAAGUAGCAUGUAUCA